UACGUAGGGUGCGAGCGUUGUCCGGAAUUACUGGGCGUAAAGGGCGCGUAGGCGGCCUGUUAAGUCGAACGUGAAAUCCCCGGGCUCAACCCGGGAACUGCGUCCGAUACUGGCAGGCUUGAAUUCGGGAGAGGGAUGCGGAAUUCCAGGUGUAGCGGUGAAAUGCGUAGAUAUCUGGAGGAACACCGGUGGCGAAGGCGGCAUCCUGGACCGAGAUUGACGCUGAUGCGCGAAAGCCAGGGGAGCAAACGGG
rnacentral:rRNA from 1 species